rnacentral:rRNA from 1 species
AGACGUCUACAUUAGAUACCCGUGUAGUCCCAGCCGUAAACUAUGCGCGUUAGGUGUAUCAGUGACCACGAGUCACCGAGGUGCCGAAGGGAAACCGUGAAACGUGCCGCCUGGGAAGUACGGUCGCAAGGCUGAAACUUAAAGGAAUUGGCGGGGAGCACCACAACGGGUGGAGCCUGCGGUUUAAUUGGACUCAACGCCGGGAAGCUCACCGGAUAAGACAGCGGAAUGAUUGCCGGGCUGAAGACUCUGCAUGACUAGCUG